AUUGAACGCUGGCGGCAGGCCUAACACAUGCAAGUCGAGCGGAUGAAGGGAGCUUGCUCCUGGAUUCAGCGGCGGACGGGUGAGUAAUGCCUAGGAAUCUGCCUGGUAGUGGGGGAUAACGUCCGGAAACGGGCGCUAAUACCGCAUACGUCCUGAGGGAGAAAGUGGGGGAUCUUCGGACCUCACGCUAUCAGAUGAGCCUAGGUCGGAUUAGCUAGUGGGUGGGGUAAAGGCCUACCAAGGCGACGAUCCGUAACUGGUCUGAGAGGAUGAUCAGUCACACUGGAACUGAGACACGGUCCAGACUCCUACGGGAGGCAGCAGUGGGGAAUAUUGGACAAAGGGCGAAAGCCUGAUCCAGCCAUGCCGCGUGUGUGAAGAAGGUCUUCGGAUUGUAAAGCACUUUAAGUUGGGAGGAAGGGCAGUAAGUUAAUACCUUGCUGUUUUGACGUUACCAACAGAAUAAGCACCGGCUAACUUCGUG
rnacentral:rRNA from 1 species